rnacentral:rRNA from 1 species
CGCUGGCGGCAUGCCUAAUACAUGCAAGUCGAACGCUGAAGCACUCUGCUUGCAGAGUGCGGAUGAGUGGCGAACGGGUGAGUAACACGUGGGAAAUCUGCCUAGGAGUGGGGAUAACAUUCGGAAACGGAUGCUAAUACCGCAUAUCUUUUUGAACCGCAUGGUUCUUAAACGAAAGACGGCUUCGGCUGUCGCUCUUAGAUGAUCCCGCGGCGUAUUAGUUAGUUGGUGGGGUAAAGGCCUACCAAGACCAUGAUACGUAGCCGACCUGAGAGGGUGAUCGGCCACACUGGGACUGAGACACGGCCCAGACUCCUACGGGAGGCAGCAGUGGGGAAUCUUCCGCAAUGGGCGAAAGCCUGACGGAGCAAUGCCGCGUGAGUGAUGAAGGAAUUCGUUCCGUAAAGCUCUUUUGUUUAUGACGAAUGUGCAGACUGUGAAUAAUGGUUUGUAAUGACGGUAGUAAACGAAUAAGCCACGGCUAACUACGUG